rnacentral:rRNA from 1 species
AAAAACAUGUCUUUUUGUUUAAAAUUUAAAGUCUAACCUGCCCACUGAUAAUAUAUUAAAGGGCCGCGGUAUUCUGACUGUGCAAAGGUAGCAUAAUCAUUUGUCUUUUAAUUGAAGGCUGGAAUGAAUGGUUGAAUGAAAUAUUAACUGUCUCAUUUUUAAAAUAAUAAAAAUUUAGCUUUUAAGUCAAAAGGCUUAAAUUUAUUUAAAGGACGAGAAGACCCUAUAGAUCUUUAUAAUUAAAGUAGUUUUAUAAAAUAGAAAAAUAAUUAGUAAAAUUAUAAUAAUUAUUUUGUUGGGGUGAUAGGAAAAUUUAAUAAACUUUUUUUAAUAUUAAACAUUGAUUUAUGAAUUAUUGAUCCAAUAUUAUUGAUUAUAAGAUUAAGUUACCUUAGGGAUAACAGCGUAAUUUUUUUGAAGAGUUCAUAUCGAUAAAAAAGAUUGCGACCUCGAUGUUGAAUUAAAGGUUAUUUCUAGAUGUAGCAGUUUAGAGUUUAGGUCUGUUCGACCUUUAAAUCUUUACAUGAUCUGAG